CCUACGGGAGGCAGCAGUGAGGAAUAUUGGUCAAUGGCCGGAAGGCUGAACCAGCCAUGCCGCGUGAAGGUCAGUGCCCUAUGGGCGUUAAACUUCUUUUGUGCGGGAGCAAUAAUGGUCACGUGUGGCCAGACGAGAGUACCGUACGAAUAAGCAUCGGCUAACUCCGUUCCAGCAGCCGCGGUAAUCCGGGGGAUGCAAGCGUUCGCCGGAUUUAUUGGGUUUAAAGGGUGCGUAGGCUGUGAGGUAAGUCAGCGGGGAAAUGCCCACGCUCAACGGGGUGAAGUGCCAUUGAUACUGCCUUGCUGGAAUGCGGAUGCCGUGGGAGGAAUGUGUGGUGUAGCGGUGAAAUGCAUAGAUAUCACACAGAACACCGAUUGCGAAGGCAUCUCACGAAUCCGCGAUUGACGCUGAUGCACGAAAGCGUGGGUAUCAAACAGGAUUAGAUACCCGUGUAGUC
rnacentral:rRNA from 1 species